GGCUCAAGAGCGGCUCGGCGGAUCGGAUUGUGGACGGCGAGGAGAUCUUCGAAAUAACUCCGAGGAAAGAGAGAGUGAAACAGACAACGGGGAGAAGAGAAAAGAGAGAGGGCGAGCCCGAGGGGUGGCCGGGAGGAGAGAUAGUAGUAAAGUAGAAAUUUUAAACAAGACGAAGCCGCGCCGGAGACUCCCGAACUCGUCCGAAGUUAAAUAUAAACUUGUAAAAACUAUACACAAAGUUAUCCCUACAUCUAUUUGCCCCUUUUUUAAUCCGAUUUCGGCCACUUACUGUCGCGUGCAUUUUUUUCCGCUCGGAUAGUUGCAGCUCCGACCGCCGCUGCCGCCACCGCGCUACGAGAGUGCCUCCUCCACGUGUUUCUCAUCUCAUUCACGUUCACUUCUUUCGGCUAACUUGCUUUCCCAUUUAAAAAAAAAAACAAAGAUUAAAAAAAAGUUAAAAAAUUUACCGCGGGCAGCACCAGCAUUUUCCAAUUAUUUUCGGCAAUUUUCCGUCUUUUUCACGAAUUUCGCGAAGUGCUCUAGCCUAAUGGUAUUUCCCCUAGUGCGAGUUGAACGAUUAACCCUGGACGUUAUCGGAUACCUACAUCUCCAGGUAUGCAAAAUGUAUUUGAAGAGGAUGUAAGCAGCCUUGCGUGAAAGGAAAUCAAAAGAAACUAAAUUAUGUGUAGAAAAUUCAAGUUUAAAUCGAAAACGAAUUUCACAAGCCAUUUGCUGUUCCCAAAAUACCGAGUUAAAGUACUCGACAGGUCUACGCUAACUAUUCGCGGAGUGCCAUCCAAAAUAAUCGUCGAGUUAUUCUCGUUAUGAAUAUAUAAUUUUUGAAAUCCACACUGCCACCUUGUGUUCAUACAAAAUUCUGGUGUAAAGUUCAUUUUCAAUCGAUUGCUCAUGUAUACAUUUCUAUGAAGAAUGUACAAUCCGGUAGAUCGCGCUAUCUCAAUCAUCAAUUUCAGGAAAUCUCCAUCCGUAUACCUAGCAGGAGGUGAUGAGCUGUUCGAUCUUACCUAUACGAAAAGGUUUAAACGCCAGAGAAAGUGUCCACAUCAAUAUUGAAAUGGGAUGAUGCUCAAAGUUAUUCGGCUUCUCGCCGAUAAGAACAAUCGAUCGAGCUUAUUUAUUUUUUAUACCAAAAUAUCAGUUUUACUACAACCGUAGUAGUAAAAAGUCUUAGUUCUUAGUGAGCGGUUCGUUGAGUGUUCAAAGAAAGUGGCUACGCAUUGAGUGUUCGAUCUGAGUGCAGCACCAGAGAUUUGUCGGUCGAUCUCGUUUUGAAAUUUCGGUGUUUGUUAUAAGAUGUGAUUAGAGAAAAUCUUUUUACGGCUACGAGUGAAAAAGACAAUGGAGAGUGUAUCGAUGUGUUGGGCGUGCAUUUAUCUAUGUUUAAUAUAAUACGAUUGAAAACUUAUCCGCACAUGAAAAUGACCCAGGCUGUUGACUGCACCGAGAGAGGCUUUCGACAUGUAACAAUCUCGUUUAAAGAAGAGUGUUAGUAAAAUACAUAGAUUUUUCUUAGAAAAUUUGAGGAGAGAAUACACAAGGAUAUCCAAUCACGAGUCAACUGAUUGGAAAGAUAAGUUGUAUCUCUCAAAAAAUCAUUCACCAACACAAACCCGUAGAGAAAAGUUCUCUUCGUUUACCAGUAAAAGCUGAAGAUUAAAACAGGCCUUCUUAGAGAAUAUGUGAAUUUUCUGCCAUUAAAAGUUACUGACCCUUAAAAAGAGUCAUGCGUUUAGAUAGAAAGUGCGUUAGAAUUCAAACUGCAAAGAUUACAUCACAUCCAAUUACUCGAUGGUUGGAACUAUUUAGAUUGACCAGUGAGGUGAAUAUCACAAAAUUGGACCGGUAGAGUAAGGAGCUGUUAUUCAAACUUGAUUUUAGGGGAGAUAGUUUUAAAUAUAAAUGAAUAAGACACUAAUCAAGGUGGUUAAAAAGUCAAAGAGGUAGACGAGAGCGGGGAAAGGAUUGAGUUAAAAUCGAGGGAGGAAUGGGUUAGGUGA
rnacentral:lncRNA from 1 species